rnacentral:rRNA from 1 species
GAUGAACGCUGGCGGCGUGCCUAAUACAUGCAAGUCGAGCGAACAGACGAGGAGCUUGCUCCUCUGACGUUAGCGGCGGACGGGUGAGUAACACGUGGAUAACCUACCUAUAAGACUGGGAUAACUUCGGGAAGCCGGAGCUAAUACCGGAUAAUAUAUUGAACCGCAUGGUUCAAUAGUGAAAGACGGUUUUGCUGUCACUUAUAGAUGGAUCCGCGCCGCAUUAGCUAGUUGGUAAGGUAACGGCUUACCAAGGCAACGAUGCGUAGCCGACCUGAGAGGGUGAUCGGCCACACUGGAACUGAGACACGGACCAGACUCCUACGGGAGGCAGCAGUAGGGAAUCUUCCGCAAUGGGCGAAAGCCUGACGGAGCAACGCCGCGUGAGUGAUGAAGGUCUUCGGAUCGUAAAACUCUGUUAUUAGGGAAGAACAAAUGUGUAAGUAACUAUGCACGUCUUGACGGUACCUAAUCAGAAAGCCACGGCUAACUACGUG